rnacentral:rRNA from 1 species
UGUUUUUCGAUUAGAAUGAAAAAUAAGGUCUGCCCUAUGAUUUUAUUGAAUGGCCGCAGUAUAUUGACUGUGCGAAGGUAGCAUAAUCAAUUGUCUUUUAAUUGAAGUCUGGAAUGAAUGAUUUUAUGUAAGAAGAACUGUUUUUUAAAAAUUUAUGAAUUUUUAUGUUAGGUGAAGAUACUUAAAUGAAAAUAAAAGACGAGAAGACCCCAUUAAGUUUUAUGCUUAAUUAUAUGUUAAGGUAAAGUUUUUGUAAGUUAGCAUUUGGUUGGGGCAAUUGAGAGAUAAUAAAAAUUUUCUUUAUAAAAAAUAUUUAUUAGUAAAUUUAAUAAUGAUCCAAAUUUUUGAUUUUAAGAAUAAAUUACUUUGGGGAUAACAGCGUAAUUUUCUUAUAGAGUUCUUAUCGAUGAGAAAGAUUGCGACCUCGAUGUUGGAUUAAGAUUUCUAUUUGAUGUAGCCGUUAAAUAAGAUAGUCUGUUCGACUAU